GAUGAACGCUGGCGGCGUGCCUAAUACAUGCAAGUCGAGCGAACAGACGAGGAGCUUGCUCCUUUGACGUUAGCGGCGGACGGGUGAGUAACACGUAGGUAACCUACCUAUAAGACUGGGAUAACUUCGGGAAACCGGAGCUAAUACCGGAUAAUAUUUCGAACCGCAUGGUUCGAUAGUGAAAGAUGGCUUUGCUAUCACUUAUAGAUGGACCUGCGCCGUAUUAGCUAGUUGGUAAGGUAACGGCUUACCAAGGCAACGAUACGUAGCCGACCUGAGAGGGUGAUCGGCCACACUGGAACUGAGACACGGUCCAGACUCCUACGGGAGGCAGCAGUAGGGAAUCUUCCGCAAUGGGCGAAAGCCUGACGGAGCAACGCCGCGUGAGUGAUGAAGGUCUUCGGAUCGUAAAACUCUGUUAGUAGGGAAGAACAAACGUGUAAGUAACGGUGCACGUCUUGACGGUACCUAAUCAGAAAGCCACGGCUAACUACGUG
rnacentral:rRNA from 1 species